rnacentral:rRNA from 1 species
GAGUGGCGAACGGGUGAGUAACACGUGGGUAACCUGCCCAGAAGUAGGGGAUAACACCUGGAAACAGAUGCUAAUACCGUAUAACAGAGAAAACCGCAUGGUUUUCUUUUAAAAGAUGGCUCUGCUAUCACUUCUGGAUGGACCCGCGGCGUAUUAGCUAGUUGGUGAGGUAAAGGCUCACCAAGGCAGUGAUACGUAGCCGACCUGAGAGGGUAAUCGGCCACAUUGGGACUGAGACACGGCCCAGACUCCUACGGGAGGCAGCAGUAGGGAAUCUUCCACAAUGGACGCAAGUCUGAUGGAGCAACGCCGCGUGAGUGAAGAAGGGUUUCGGCUCGUAAAGCUCUGUUGUUAAAGAAGAACGUGGGUAAGAGUAACUGUUUACCCAGUGACGGUAUUUAACCAGAAAGCCACGGCUAACUACGUGCCAGCAGCCGCGGUAAUACGUAGGUGGCAAGCGUUAUCCGGAUUUAUUGGGCGUAAAGCGAGCGCAGGCGGUCUUUUAAGUCUAAUGUGAAAGCCUUCGGCUCAACCGAAGAAGUGCAUUGGAAACUGGGAGACUUGAGUGCAGAAGAGGACAGUGGAACUCCAUGUGUAGCGGUGAAAUGCGUAGAUAUAUGGAAGAACACCAGUGGCGAAGGCGGCUGUCUGGUCUGCAACUGACGCUGAGGCUCGAAAGCAUGGGUAGCGAACAGGAUUAGAUACCCUGGUAGUCCAUGCCGUAAACGAUGAUUACUAAGUGUUGGAGGGUUUCCGCCCUUCAGUGCUGCAGCUAACGCAUUAAGUAAUCCGCCUGGGGAGUACGACCGCAAGGUUGAAACUCAAAAGAAUUGACGGGGGCCCGCACAAGCGGUGGAGCAUGUGGUUUAAUUCGAAGCUACGCGAAGAACCUUACCAGGUCUUGACAUCUUCUGACAGUCUAAGAGAUUAGAGGUUCCCUUCGGGGACAGAAUGACAGGUGGUGCAUGGUUGUCGUCAGCUCGUGUCGUGAGAUGUUGGGUUAAGUCCCGCAACGAGCGCAACCCUUAUUACUAGUUGCCAGCAUUAAGUUGGGCACUCUAGUGAGACUGCCGGUGACAAACCGGAGGAAGGUGGGGACGACGUCAAAUCAUCAUGCCCCUUAUGACCUGGGCUACACACGUGCUACAAUGGAUGGUACAACGAGUCGCGAGACCGCGAGGUUAAGCUAAUCUCUUAAAACCAUUCUCAGUUCGGACUGUAGGCUGCAACUCGCCUACACGAAGUCGGAAUCGCUAGUAAUCGCGGAUCAGCAUGCCGCGGUGAAUACGUUCCCGGGCCUUGUACACACCGCCCGUCACACCAUGAGAGUUUGUAACACCCAAAGCCGGUGGGGUAACCUUUUAGGAGCUAGCCGUCUAAGGUG